UAUUCAUGUAGAAGUCAUAGAUGGUCAUUUGUUGUCUUCUAGAGAUAUUACUCAUGAAACACUUCCCAUAGAAGUAGCAACAAAUGAUCAUAAUAGUUGCAUAAUCUUUAAUAUAAUUAGAUCUCUUUUUAAUUCAAUUAUUUUAGGUUUAUUAUAGUUAGAAAAGUAUAAUUCUUAUAUAGAUUGAAUUUCUCCUACCCUUGACUUUUCUAAAUGCAUAAUUAAGAGUGAAAUUAAUCCAAUAGAAAGACAUAAGUUUAGCACAAUUAAACCUACAUUUAUAGGUAUAAGAGUUUUUUUACAUGCUGCAAAAGAAGGAUCACUUUGUGUCAUUUAUGCCAUACUUAUUUUUAAUGACGCAAAGACUUCCAGUGGCAUUCACAGCUAAUAUCAAGAAUUUCAAGAUGUAUUUAAGAAGAAGAAUGUGGAUACUCUUCGAAAAUAUUGUCCCUAUGAUUGUUCAAUUGACCUUCAAAGAGGAGCAUAAUUG
rnacentral:lncRNA from 1 species